UGUAACACGUCAUAUUCACUUUUUGAAAUAUUGCCCAGAGACUGCAUAGAAAAUAGAUUGAGCCUAGAAACAAUUCUCCAGAGGAGAGUCAUAGAGGACCUGAACUAGGCAGUAGCAGAGGGAUGGAGACAAGAAGACCGCUGUGAGACAUGCCAGGGAAGACGGCCUUCUAGACCCUAGUGACUCUAAGCAUGGUCUCUGGGCCAACAGCCUCAGCAUCUCUCGGGAGAUUGUGAGAAAUGCGAAUUCUCAGGCCCCAACCCAGAUCUACUGAAUAAAAAUCUGCUUGGAAAAGAUCGCCAAGGGAUCCAUAUGCUCCUUAAACUUCAGAAGCACUGCUUUCAGACCACUUGCCUGGGAGAGGGAUGGAGGAAGGAAUGGACGAUGACUCUGAGCCUGUGUUCAAGCAUUAUAAAAUGGGUGAGACCUUCUAGAACAACAUGGAUGAGACCUUUCUUUGAGAAGAGUGCUUUCCCUUCAACAGUGCAAGUGCCAAGAAGCCAGGAGCCAUGUCUAUUUUCUUCUCUACAAGUUCUACUCAGUACCUAAUUCAGUGACUAAUACAGAGCAGGAAUUUGACAGAUGCCUGUUGAAUGAAUGACAAUAGGGGAUUUUGGACAGUUGGAUUAAUUUUUCCAUUUAAGGAAGCCCAAGCGCAAGACAAGCCGUGUGACAGCUGACGAAACGAUGCAGAGCUCACCUCUGAGCAGGCUGAGUCUCUGUGCUCACCUGCCCCUGAGAAAUGAUGAUGAAUCAGAAACUGCCAAAUGCAAC
rnacentral:lncRNA from 1 species